CAAAGCAGCCAUAUCACCCUGCAGCCCAAGACCGGUUACUCACAGGGCUGAGCCUGGUCAGUACUUGGAUGGGAGACCACAAGGGAAAACUCGGUUGCUGUUGGAA
rnacentral:rRNA from 1 species